GACGAACGCUGGCGGCGUGCCUAAUACAUGCAAGUAGAACGCUGAAGAGAGGAGCUUGCUCUUCUUGGAUGAGUUGCGAACGGGUGAGUAACGCGUAGGUAACCUGCCUUGUAGCGGGGGAUAACUAUUGGAAACGAUAGCUAAUACCGCAUAACAAUGGAUGACACAUGUCAUUUAUUUGAAAGGGGCAAUUGCUCCACUACAAGAUGGACCUGCGUUGUAUUAGCUAGUAGGUGAGGUAACGGCUCACCUAGGCGACGAUACAUAGCCGACCUGAGAGGGUGAUCGACCACACUGGGACUGAGACACGGCCCAGACUCCUACGGGAGGCAGCAGUAGGGAAUCUUCGGCAAUGGGGGCAACCCUGACCGAGCAACGCCGCGUGAGUGAAGAAGGUUUUCGGAUCGUAAAGCUCUGUUGUAAGUCAAGAACGAGUGUGAGAGUGGAAAGUUCACACUGUGACGGUAGCUUACCAGAAAGGGACGGCUAACUACGUGCCAGCAGCCGCGGUAAUACGUAGGUCCCGAGCGUUGUCCGGAUUUAUUGGGCGUAAAGCGAGCGCAGGCGGUUUGAUAAGUCUGAAGUUAAAGGCUGUGGCUCAACCAUAGUUCGCUUUGGAAACUGUCAAACUUGAGUGCAGAAGGGGAGAGUGGAAUUCCAUGUGUAGCGGUGAAAUGCGUAGAUAUAUGGAGGAACACCGGUGGCGAAAGCGGCUCUCUGGUCUGUAACUGACGCUGAGGCUCGAAAGCGUGGGGAGCGAACAGGAUUAGAUACCCUGGUAGUCCACGCCGUAAACGAUGAGUGCUAGGUGUUGGAUCCUUUCCGGGAUUCAGUGCCGCAGCUAACGCAUUAAGCACUCCGCCUGGGGAGUACGACCGCAAGGUUGAAACUCAAAGGAAUUGACGGGGGCCCGCACAAGCGGUGGAGCAUGUGGUUUAAUUCGAAGCAACGCGAAGAACCUUACCAGGUCUUGACAUCCCGAUGCUAUUUCUAGAGAUAGAAAGUUACUUCGGUACAUCGGUGACAGGUGGUGCAUGGUUGUCGUCAGCUCGUGUCGUGAGAUGUUGGGUUAAGUCCCGCAACGAGCGCAACCCCUAUUGUUAGUUGCCAUCAUUCAGUUGGGCACUCUAGCGAGACUGCCGGUAAUAAACCGGAGGAAGGUGGGGAUGACGUCAAAUCAUCAUGCCCCUUAUGACCUGGGCUACACACGUGCUACAAUGGUUGGUACAACGAGUUGCGAGUCGGUGACGGCAAGCUAAUCUCUUAAAGCCAAUCUCAGUUCGGAUUGUAGGCUGCAACUCGCCUACAUGAAGUCGGAAUCGCUAGUAAUCGCGGAUCAGCACGCCGCGGUGAAUACGUUCCCGGGCCU
rnacentral:rRNA from 1 species